UGUUUAGCAAGCGGGUGCCCCAUUUUUUGACGUUGUUUCUCUUCUUUUCCUUCUCAUUUACUCCUCGUUUCUUUUCUUCCUUCUCCCCAACGUCAGGCUGAGAUCAUACCGUUAAUACCCGAACAUGGUAAUGCAUGCGAGGGGAUUGCUUUUUAUAAUAAA
rnacentral:ncRNA from 1 species